UACGUAGGGGGGCAACGUUGUCCGGAAUCAUUGGGCGUAAAGAGCGCGUAGGCGGUCCGGUAAGUCGGUUGUGAAAACUGGGGGGCUCAACCCUCAGAGGCCGACCGAUACUGUCGGGCUAGAGUCCGGAAGAGGCGAGUGGAAUUCCCGGUGUAGCGGUGAAAUGCGCAGAUAUCGGGAAGAACACCUAUGGCGAAGGCAGCUCGCUGGGACGGUACUGACGCUGAGACGCGAAAGCGUGGGGAGCAAACAGG
rnacentral:rRNA from 1 species